UCCAGACUCCUACGGGAGGCAGCAGUGGGGGAUAUUGGACAAUGGGGGAAACCCUGAUCCAGCGAUGCCGCGUGAGGGAAGAAGGUUUUCGGAUUGUAAACCUCUGUGGACAGGGACGAUAAUGACGGUACCUGUCAAGAAAGCCACGGCUAACUACGUGCCAGCAGCCGCGGUAAUACGUAGGUGGCGAGCGUUGUCCGGAAUUACUGGGUGUAAAGGGAGUGUAGGCGGGAAGGCAAGUCAGAAGUGAAAAUUAUGGGCUCAACCCAUAACCUGCUUUUGAAACUGUUCUUCUUGAGUGAUGGAGAGGCAGGCGGAAUUCCGUGUGUAGCGGUGAAAUGCGUAGAUAUACGGAGGAACACCAGUGGCGAAGGCGGCCUGCUGGACAUUAACUGACGCUGAGGCGCGAAAGCGUGGGGAGCAAACAGGAUUAGAUACCCCGGUA
rnacentral:rRNA from 1 species